rnacentral:lncRNA from 1 species
GUUUAAGUAGAUUCCCAACACAACCACCCCGACCACCACCUUGCUUGCACCACACCUCACCUUAUAGCACCACAAUACAAUACCAUAGCAAUUGCAAACCACCAUUGCACCCACAACACUGCUCAACGCACCACAAUACCACCACUAUACAAUCAUCUGUAUUUAUGUGAAACCACCAUCGUCGUCUCAUGCUCCAGUAACGAUCUCGAAUCACCCUCAAACCACUUAAAAACACAGUUCCUAUCUUAGAUCUAAACCCCUAUCAACCCCAAACCACUCGAAAAUGCGCCAAAAUCUUGCACGGCCGUGAGCAACAAAUGAAUCUACGUUGGAGCUAGUUCUUUUCCUAAUAUUCACACCACCACAAAAGCUACAAAAGUCUUCCUCUCGUGGCCAUACAAAUCUACGCUAGAGUCACCACUUCUGCCUAUAUUCACCAUUGAGCGAGUGGCGCUGUAUAAUGACAAUUUACGCCAGAUGCUUAUCGCUACUUCUUCUUGGCAUGACGCGACUGUGGGAGGUGGGUUUGGCGAUGCUGCGCAGCUGCGAUGGCAUGGUGCCGACUAUAGUGGGUAGGUAUGGGGAAUUGUUACUAUUUAUUAUGGUAGAUAUGGUGAUUGCUGUGGGUAAUGGCAGAUUUGUUAGAUUAUUGAGGUUUGUGAUUUAAUUAUUAGAUUAUUUGUUUUAAAAUUAUAAAAAAAAUUAUAAUAUGAUUUUUGAAAGGAAAUAGUUAUAAUUUGAUUUUGAAUGUGUUAUUUGAAAAGUAAGGAUGGGUGUAAUUUUCACUUUUAGGAUUUCAUUUCAAAAGUUA